UUAAGUUAUUAAGGGCGCACGGUGGAUGCCUUGGCACUAGAAGCCGAUGAAGGACGUUACUAACGACGAUAUGCUUUGGGGAGCUGUAAGUAAGCUUUGAUCCAGAGAUUUCCGAAUGGGGAAACCCAGCAUGAGUUAUGUCAUGUUAUCGAUAUGUGAAUACAUAGCAUAUCAGAAGGCACACCCGGAGAACUGAAACAUCUUAGUACCCGGAGGAAGAGAAAGAAAAUUCGAUUCCCUUAGUAGCGGCGAGCGAAACGGGAAGAGCCCAAACCAAAAAGCUUGCUUGUUGGGGUUGUAGGACACUCUAUACGGAGUUACAAAGGACGACAUUAGACGAAUCAUCUGGAAAGAUGAAUCAAAGAAGGUAAUAAUCCUGUAGUCGAAAAUGUUGUCUCUCUUGAGUGGAUCCUGAGUACGACGGAGCACGUGAAAUUCCGUCGGAAUCUGGGAGGACCAUCUCCUAAGGCUAAAUACUCUCUAGUGACCGAUAGUGAACCAGUACCGUGAGGGAAAGGUGAAAAGCACCCCGGAAGGAGAGUGAAAUAGAACCUGAAACCGUGUGCUUACAAGUAGUCAGAGCCCGUUAAUGGGUGAUGGCGUGCCUUUUGUAGAAUGAACCGGCGAGUUACGAUUUGAUGCAAGGUUAAGCAGUAAAUGUGGAGCCGUAGCGAAAGCGAGUCUGAAUAGGGCGUUUAGUAUUUGGUCGUAGACCCGAAACCAGGUGAUCUACCCUUGGUCAGGUUGAAGUUCAGGUAACACUGAAUGGAGGACCGAACCGACUUACGUUGAAAAGUGAGCGGAUGAACUGAGGGUAGCGGAGAAAUUCCAAUCGAACCUGGAGAUAGCUGGUUCUCUCCGAAAUAGCUUUAGGGCUAGCCUCAAGUGAUGAUUAUUGGAGGUAGAGCACUGUUUGGACGAGGGGCCCCUCUCGGGUUACCGAAUUCAGACAAACUCCGAAUGCCAAUUAAUUUAACUUGGGAGUCAGAACAUGGGUGAUAAGGUCCGUGUUCGAAAGGGAAACAGCCCAGACCACCAGCUAAGGUCCCAAAAUAUAUGUUAAGUGGAAAAGGAUGUGGCGUUGCCCAGACAACUAGGAUGUUGGCUUAGAAGCAGCCAUCAUUUAAAGAGUGCGUAAUAGCUCACUAGUCGAGUGACACUGCGCCGAAAAUGUACCGGGGCUAAACAUAUUACCGAAGCUGUGGAUUGUCCUUUGGACAAUGGUAGGAGAGCGUUCUAAGGGCGUUGAAGCAUGAUCGUAAGGACAUGUGGAGCGCUUAGAAGUGAGAAUGCCGGUGUGAGUAGCGAAAGACGGGUGAGAAUCCCGUCCACCGAUUGACUAAGGUUUCCAGAGGAAGGCUCGUCCGCUCUGGGUUAGUCGGGUCCUAAGCUGAGGCCGACAGGCGUAGGCGAUGGAUAACAGGUUGAUAUUCCUGUACCACCUAUAAUCGUUUUAAUCGAUGGGGGGACGCAGUAGGAUAGGCGAAGCGUGCGAUUGGAUUGCACGUCUAAGCAGUAAGGCUGAGUAUUAGGCAAAUCCGGUACUCGUUAAGGCUGAGCUGUGAUGGGGAGAAGACAUUGGGUCUUCGAGUCGUUGAUUUCACACUGCCGAGAAAAGCCUCUAGAUAGAAAAUAGGUGCCCGUACCGCAAACCGACACAGGUAGUCAAGAUGAGAAUUCUAAGGUGAGCGAGCGAACUCUCGUUAAGGAACUCGGCAAAAUGACCCCGUAACUUCGGGAGAAGGGGUGCUCUUUAGGGUUAACGCCCAGAAGAGCCGCAGUGAAUAGGCCCAAGCGACUGUUUAUCAAAAACACAGGUCUCUGCUAAACCGUAAGGUGAUGUAUAGGGGCUGACGCCUGCCCGGUGCUGGAAGGUUAAGAGGAGUGGUUAGCUUCUGCGAAGCUACGAAUCGAAGCCCCAGUAAACGGCGGCCGUAACUAUAACGGUCCUAAGGUAGCGAAAUUCCUUGUCGGGUAAGUUCCGACCCGCACGAAAGGCGUAACGAUUUGGGCACUGUCUCAACGAGAGACUCGGUGAAAUCAUAGUACCUGUGAAGAUGCAGGUUACCCGCGACAGGACGGAAAGACCCCGUGGAGCUUUACUGUAGCCUGAUAUUGAAAUUCGGCACAGCUUGUACAGGAUAGGUAGGAGCCUUUGAAACGUGAGCGCUAGCUUACGUGGAGGCGCUGGUGGGAUACUACCCUAGCUGUGUUGGCUUUCUAACCCGCACCACUUAUCGUGGUGGGAGACAGUGUCAGGCGGGCAGUUUGACUGGGGCGGUCGCCUCCUAAAAGGUAACGGAGGCGCUCAAAGGUUCCCUCAGAAUGGUUGGAAAUCAUUCAUAGAGUGUAAAGGCAUAAGGGAGCUUGACUGCGAGACCUACAAGUCGAGCAGGGUCGAAAGACGGACUUAGUGAUCCGGUGGUUCCGCAUGGAAGGGCCAUCGCUCAACGGAUAAAAGCUACCCCGGGGAUAACAGGCUUAUCUCCCCCAAGAGUUCACAUCGACGGGGAGGUUUGGCACCUCGAUGUCGGCUCAUCGCAUCCUGGGGCUGUAGUCGGUCCCAAGGGUUGGGCUGUUCGCCCAUUAAAGCGGUACGCGAGCUGGGUUCAGAACGUCGUGAGACAGUUCGGUCCCUAUCCGUCGUGGGCGUAGGAAAUUUGAGAGGAGCUGUCCUUAGUACGAGAGGACCGGGAUGGACAUACCUCUGGUGUACCAGUUGUCGUGCCAACGGCAUAGCUGGGUAGCUAUGUGUGGACGGGAUAAGUGCUGAAAGCAUCUAAGCAUGAAGCCCCCCUCAAGAUGAGAUUUCCCAACUUCGGUUAUAAGAUCCCUCAAAGAUGAUGAGGUUAAUAGGUUCGAGGUGGAAGCAUGGUGACAUGUGGAGCUGACGAAUACUAAUCGAUCGAAGACUUAAUCAA
rnacentral:rRNA from 1 species